CUACUGAGCCAGCGCUCUGGAGCCUGCAGGCUGCAACUACUGAAGCCCACGCGACAACAAGAGAAACCGCUGCAAGGGUUAGGGUUAGCCCACACCCCGCAGCCAAGCACAGCGCCCGCGCGUCUCAACCGGAGAAAGUCAGCACGCAGCACCAAGGACCGAGCACAAUCCGAAAAAAACAAGCCAAGGUGGUCCUGUCUCUGCCCAAUCGACUAUGGGGGCACCAGGUUCUCCAAAUCUGGCCUUGUGGGUCUUGGUUCUCGGAUAUUCCUUGUGUCCUGUGGGUCCUCUACGUUUCGUAUUAAGCCCGUCAGCUGGUCUGUGCUUAUUUCCUCAGGGACGAGAUAUGACAACGAGCAGGAGAAAAAGAAAGAAAGCAGCCUCAGCCUGGCUUCUGAGUUUCAAAAGCAGCCCUUGGUCUGGACACGACAUGGAGCACAAAGGAUCCUGGAGCUGGAAACCUGGGGUCAUCCUGGAGCCCCUUAAAAGUCACCGAGGCUCCCCAGUUCCUCUUCUCAUCCUCUGAGACACUUUCCACUCCCAUCCGCUGUUCCGGCUGCACCCUUGGCACCAACCCAGCCCGCUGCCCUGCCCCCUCCCAUCACCCACAGGUGGGAGGGGGACAGGGAGGACUCCAUGGGCAGUAGCUGGGGGGACAGAGGGCGGCAGGGGAGGAGGAGGUGCAAGGGAAGGGGCCUGCCAUUGCAGAGGCGCUCAGUGAUGGUCGGAUAACGGGCAGUGAUGACAC
rnacentral:lncRNA from 1 species